GGCUGUAUAGUGUAGUGGUUUAGCACUCGGGAUUUUGAAGUCAAAUCUUCCCGCAACCUGGGUUCGAGUCCCAGUACGGCCU